AAGCGUGCGCAAGCUAGUCCUGCAGAUGACGGAUAGGAGACGUUCUUCUGACCACCUGCCUUCUGAGCAGAGCCUCGCGGUGUAAAGAGCAACUAAUACUUGGCACAGUUUUUACCAAACAAACCAUAAGUCAUGCUGGCUGCUUUCCACGUAUUUAAAACAAAUCUUCAUUGCCACAGUUACAAAGAACAAGGUCAGGGAGGAGACAGACCAGMUAGCGUACAGCAGCAGGGAUCAUAAUGCAGACUUUCCUCAGGUAAGGAGAAAUUAUGACUAUUAUUCUUGAAGUGGAACAGUCUUUAAAAACUGGUGUAUAGUUUGAAGUCUCUACUUUUGACAUAAUUUGUAACAGAGUCUCA